UGGGGGAUAUUGCACAAUGGGCGAAAGCCUGAUGCAGCGACGCCGCGUGGGGGAUGAAGGCCUUCGGGUUGUAAACUUCUUUUGCUCUGAACAAGGCGCACCAUGGGGUGUGUUGAGUGUAGGUGUUGAUUAGCGCCGGCUAACUACGUGCCAGCAGCCGCGGUAAUACGUAGGGCGCGAGCGUUGUCCGGAAUUAUUGGGCGUAAAGGGCUUGUAGGUGGCUGGUUGCGUCUGUCGUGAAAGCUCAUGGCUUAACUGUGGGUUUGCGGUGGGUACGGGCUGGCUUGAGUGCAGUAGGGGAGGCUGGAAUUCCUGGUGUAGCGGUGGAAUGCGCAGAUAUCAGGAGGAAUACCGGUGGCGAAGGCGGGUCUCUGGGCUGUUACUGACACUGAGGAGCGAAAGCAUGGGGAGCGAACAGG
rnacentral:rRNA from 1 species